rnacentral:rRNA from 1 species
AACGCACCUUGCGCUCCUCGGUAUUCCGAGGAGCAUGCCUGUUUGAGUGUCGUGAAGUCUUCAACUUUGUCUCGCUUUGAAAAUUGCGAGGCGAGGCUUGGAUUUGGGGGUUGUUGGCCUCUUGCCUCCCUUGCCGGGGGCUUGAGGGGGGUCGACUCCUCUGGAAUGCAUUAGCGAAGGUUGAUGUGCGAACCAGUGUCUCGGUGUGAUAAUGAUCAUCGUGCCUGACGUGCAGUGUCCUGUGCUUACAGUCGUCGUAAGACAACGUUUUGAACCUUUGACCUCAAAUCAGGUAGGAUUACCCGCUGAACUUAA